AGAGCAAUAGCUGGAUAAAAUGGUGGUUCCAUUCCCAGAUUUCCAAGGAAUCUCCAUACUGCUUUCCAUAUUGGCUGCACCAAUUUGCAGUCCCACCAGCAAU
rnacentral:pre_miRNA from 1 species